GCACGGGCAGUCAGAGCGGGAGGAUCUGCCCAGCAGGACAGCAACAGCCAAGAACUGGAGACGAAAUCUCUUCUUCUACCCUGGCCAGUGUGCUGAGUCUGGCCACUUGCGGUGAUGGAGUGAAUUCAGAGAAACUUGUGACUCACUGCCCAGGGAGCAGUCAGCACCACACAUUUCCUGAUUUUUGCUGCUUUCAUGCCAGCACUGCAGGGUGAGCUGAGACUGGGUCAAAUUACCUGAAGGCUGGGCUCUUACCUCUUAAUUGCAAUUUUCCAGUUCUAAACGUAUGGAUUAUCACUGAGCUUUAAAUGUGCACAAUGGAUUCAAAGUACCUUGGCAAGGGGAUGGUAUGUGAAUGUAAUACCUCUAAAAGUAAAUGUCCUUGAUCCUUCUAUUGGUGAUGAAUGAA